CCUACGGGAGGCAGCAGUGAGGAAUAUUGGUCAAUGGACGAGAGUCUGAACCAGCCAAGUAGCGUGAAGGAUGACUGCCCUAUGGGUUGUAAACUUCUUUUAUAUGGGAAUAAAAUGUUCCACGUGUGGGAUUUUGUAUGUACCAUAUGAAUAAGGAUCGGCUAACUCCGUGCCAGCAGCCGCGGUAAUACGGAGGAUCCGAGCGUUAUCCGGAUUUAUUGGGUUUAAAGGGUGCGUAGGUGGAUUGUUAAGUCAGUUGUUAAAGUUUGGGGCUCAACCGUAAAAUUGCAUUUGAUACUGGAAGUCUUGAGUACAGUAGAGGUAGGCGGAAUUCGUGGUGUAGCGGUGAAAUGCUUAGAUAUAACGAAGAACUCCGAUUGCGAAGGCAGCUCACUGGACUGCAACUGACACUGAGGCUCGAGAGUGUGGGUAUCAAACAGGAUUAGAUACCCGAGUAGUC
rnacentral:rRNA from 1 species